UACAGAGGGUGCGAGCGUUAAUCGGAAUUACUGGGCGUAAAGCGUGCGUAGACGGUUAUUUAAGUCGGGUGUGAAAGCCCCGGGCUCAACCUGGGAAUUGCAUUCGAGACUGAAUAGCUAGGGUACGGUAGAGGGAAGUGGAAUUUCCGGUGUAGCGGUGAAAUGCGUAGAUAUCUGGAGGAACACCGGUGGCGAAGGCGGCAUUCUGGACCGAAACUGACGCUGAGGCGCGAAAGCCAGGGGAGCAAACGGG
rnacentral:rRNA from 1 species